ACUAACGAGCAACAAUGAGAGAAGAAAAAGAGAGAAAGGUCGUCAUAAUUAGGCAGCAGCACUGGUUGAACGAAAAGCCACGUGGCAGAUCCAAAGUCAUCGGUGACGCCAUGCUCUCGUCACUACACCCUGGAGUUCCCAUUUCCCAACACAAGAAAACACCGUAAGCUCCGUCAUCGCAGUCGCAGAACAACAAUUCCGUUUCCAUGGAGUGGUUCGGUGAUUGCUCCUUCCGUCUCGAUUCGCCGCCGGACUCGCCCUGCAAUGCGUACCGCCUCCUCCUCCGAUCUCUCUCCCUCAUCCCGGUCUCGCACUACCUCAUCGCCGCCGCCAUCUCCCUAAUCACCUUCCUCUACAACUUCAUCGAGUGCCAUUUCCUUCAAGACCUCUUCUCCGGAUUCGCCGGUGAUCCCAUCCACCUCACCUACCAUCCCUCCUCGAUAAUCUACGAAGCCGUUGUCUCCAAGUGCCGCAUCCUUCAUGGCAGGUAUUUGGCGACGCCGUGGUUGGCGAGUCCGCAUGUUCAGACUUGUUUCUUGAAUUUCUUCGGCAGGCCUCCGCGUUUCAGUUACAGAAGACAACUGUUUAAUACUCCUGAUGGUGGAACCAUAGCUUUGGACUGGUUAACAAGUUCUGAUGUUUCUGGUGAUGUUCUUCGUACGAAUGAUGUUUUUUUAGAUGAAUCGACUCCCAUUGUUGUAGUGAUUCCUGGUCUAACAAGUGACUCUUCAUCUGCUUAUCUCAAACAUCUUGCAUAUCAUACAGCAAAGUGUGGAUGGAACAUAGUUAUCAGUAACCACCGAGGACUGGGAGGCGUUUCAAUCACGUCUGAUUGUUUCUACAAUGCUGGAUGGACCGAGGAUGUCCGCACGGUGGUUAAAUAUCUCCACGAUGAACACCCCAGGACACCUUUGUUUCUUGUUGGUACUAGUAUUGGAGCUAAUGUUCUGGUAAAGUAUCUUGGUGAGGAGGGUGAGAAUCUUCCUGUAGCCGGGGCUGUAGCUAUUUGCUCUCCUUGGGACCUUUUGAUAGGCGACAGAUUUAUAAGUCGUAGGCGUGUGCAAAAGUUUUAUGAUAGAGCACUUGCUUUUGGACUUAAAGGAUAUGCAAAACUGCACCAGCCUCAUUUUUCUCGGCUUGCUAAUUGGGAAGGGAUAGAAAAGUCACUUUCUAUUCGAGAUUUUGAUCACCAUGCUACCCGCGUUGUUGGGAAAUAUGAGACGGUCGAUACCUACUAUAGACGCUGCAGCAGUGCUAGUUAUGUGCAAUCUGUUUCGAUUCCACUUCUCUGUAUUAGUGCUCUGGAUGAUCCAGUUUGUACUAAGGAAGCUAUUCCCUGGGAUGAAUGCAGGGCAAAUAAGAAUAUUGUAUUGGCUACUCCAAAGCAUGGAGGACAUCUGGCUUUCUUUGAAGGAAUAACUGGAUCUAGGCUGUGGUGGGUAAGAGCUACGAAUGAAUUCCUUGAUGUGCUACAUUCUAGCGAAUAUAUGCACGUGCAGAAGAAGAUCUCUAAACCAAGCACACCAUUGGUAACGUCGAUUGAUCAGGGCCCUUAUGUUAAUGUUACGGACGACGGAAUGGUGGCUGCAUUGAACAAUGAGCCAAGCACUGACAAUGUAGAAGAAUUACAUGCAAUACAAGAGGAUAGUACUCAUGGCAAGGUCCUAGAAGAUAAAGUUAAUGAAAAAGAUGAUCCUGUCGCUAAUGCAAAGCAGGGAGGUUCCUCUAGCAUGGCUCAAACGAGUAGCGCACACGACUCGGUACUAAAUGAUGUAAUAACGCCUUUCAAAACGUACCUAGGCCCGUUAACUCGACAAAGUCGAUGGUCAACGUGGUUGCUUGUUUACAUUGCCAUUGCCACAAGUUGGCCAUUGGUUGGUUCAGCCCUACAAAUUGUGUUUGGGAAAAAGCUAAGGACGACCUCAAGGGGUGGUUCGGUCAGAAGAUAAAUUCAUGAACAGAGGUUAUUGACAUUGUUGUAUUUAGAGGGUGAGUCUUGAUGUAGCAGAAAAGUUAUUACCUUCUGAUAAGGAGGAUUAUUCAACCAGUGAAAAUUGAAAGCAGCCUCUCCGCUUAGAAUUGGGUAAUAAACAGAGACACAACAGCUCAUAGACAAAUGCGGCGGAAACACAUUUAAGAACGCAAGAAAGAAGAGUGCGAUGAUGGAGAGAGAGAGAGAGGACCAUCGGAGGAGGGAGGCAUAGCAGCGGCGACGGAAUCUAUGGCAGAGGAGAAGACAGAAGAAUCUGGACAGAGGCAGAAGAUUGAUGGAGAAGGAAAGAGGGAGUAGAGAAAGGGGUUAGGAUAGGGUUGAGGUAGGGAUAAAGGCUGGAAUUUUUGAAAUUAAUUAGGGAUAAAAGUGAAAAAAGUUGUAUCUCAACUUUAAGAAGAGAUACUAAAAACAUGUAUUAUGUAUGUAUCUGUGUACCACCGUAUUUAUGUACCAGUGUUCAUGUCUAAGCAAACAAAUGUAGUCGGAGUGAACAUAGAUUAACUAACAAGUCAUUGCAUGGUUUGAUUUUGGGACUUGAAUUGCCUGCAAAAGAAAA